GGAGGGUGGGCGGGACGGUAACGCGUUGGUUUCGAAAACCAAUUCCCGUAAGGGAUAGCAGGUUCGACUCCUGUGCCCUCCGCCA
rnacentral:tRNA from 1 species